rnacentral:rRNA from 2 species
UUGACCUGCCGGAAAACCCCUUCUUUUUAGUGGUUGACCUCGAAUCAGGUAGGAAUACCCGCUGAACUUAAGCAUAUCAAUAAGCGGAGGAAAAGAAACCAACAGGGAUUGCCCUAGUAACGGCGAGUGAAGCGGCAACAGCUCAAAUUUGAAAUCUGGCCCUAGGCCCGAGUUGUAAUUUGCAGAGGAUGCUUCGGGCGCGGUGCCUUCCAAGUCCCCUGGAACGGGGCGCCGGAGAGGGUGAGAGCCCCGUACGGUUGGCGGCCAAGCCUGUGUGAAGCUCCUUCGACGAGUCGAGUAGUUUGGGAAUGCUGCUCUAAGCGGGAGGUAGACCCCUUCUAAAGCUAAAUAUAGGCCAGAGACCGAUAGCGCACAAGUAGAGUGAUCGAAAGAUGAAAAGCACUUUGAAAAGAGGGUUAAAUAGCACGUGAAAUUGUUGAAAGGGAAGCGCUUGUGACCAGACGUGCGCCGGGGUGUUCAGCGGGCGUUCUCGCCCGUGCACUCGCCUCGGCGCAGGCCAGCGUCGGUUCGAGUGGGAGGAUAAAGGCGUCUGGAAUGUGGCUCCUUCGGGAGUGUUAUAGCCAGACGUGCC